AAAACGCAUAUAGAUAAGUCUGUGUAUAAGUGAUGAUAGUAUUA
rnacentral:guide_RNA from 1 species